GUUUGAUGUGGAUUUGUUAGUAGAUGCGGUUAUUUCCUACAUCCGAUGUUUUAGUUAGGAUUUACCUUUUUAAUUUUUUUUAUGUUUACUUGUUUGUUUAUAUGUCACAUGCAGAUUAGUAAGACAAAGGUGUUUCUAAGGGCCGGACAGAUGGCAGAGUUUGAUGGUUGUCGGACUAAGGUCCUAAGUUAUACGACCUAGAUGGCUUGGAUAAGCUGAGCCUGUGAGGGUAUGAUGCAUAAGCUGAGCCUAUGAGGCUAUGAUGCAUAAGCUGAGCCUGUCGACUCUAUGAUGCAUAAGCUGAGCUUGUGUUCUUAAUAUGUCUGAACUGAAACUGUUAAGGCUAUGAUGCAUAAGCUGAGCCUGCGGGGUUACAUAACACAAUAGACUGUGAUGAUGAUUGUAUUUUGAGGGUACAUAGAAGAUCCGAGUAGCAUCUUGGCGGGGCAAUAUCCAGGUUGCAUAGUUCUCACUUUGCAACCGUGUGUUGCAGCCAUGGCUUUACCUGUAGUUGUGUUCAUCUCUCAAUUACAUGUCUGAGUCUUCCAGUUGUAAAAGUAUUAUCACAGAUUCACAGAUCUAAAAGUACAUGUCUGAAAGACAGAUGUUGAUUUAUCUUUAAUCUUGAUGUGGAUUUUAGAUAGAUGCGGUUAUUUCAAAUUAUGUUGAAAGUUUUGUGAUAUUUGAAUUUGUAUUUUUGGUGAUGAUAGUUAGGUUAAUUUCAGAUAUGACAUAGUGAAAGGAUAAAUUGUUUUUGUAGUUUUGAUUUUACUUUAUUCUGUUAUAUUUUGAUCUUUUCCUUCAUUUUUGGGACUGAUAAGUGUCAUGGUUGUGUGAUAAUUAUGAUAUUUAGGUCAUUUAGAUAUGGAAUAGUGAAAAGAUAGAUUGUUAUGUAUUUUUGAUUUUAGUUUGUUCUGUGGGAUGCUCGAUGAGCAGAUCUAGGGUUUCAUGAGAUGUAUCACGAGCUUUAUCUGGCAAGGGAUCCACAGAUUUGAACAAGGGAUCCGUUUGAUGUGGAUUUGUUAGUAGAUGCGAU
rnacentral:lncRNA from 1 species